CGGCUUGGCUCAAUAUCCAGAGUGGA
rnacentral:misc_RNA from 1 species